GUCAUACCUGAAUGCACUACCGCGUCUCUUCGUCUUUACCUCGUCUGUUCGUGUGGGUAAGAGGUUCCCAAACAGGACCAGAGUGAACGGUCGCCAUCUUGACAAACGGUACAGACCGACGUGUGGGAUGUAUUCAGGACACAGUCUAUGAUCUAUGGCCGACAAAUCGUUCUGUCGAUCAGAUAUAGCACCACGAGGAGUCGUUUGACGUCAAACUACAGAAGUGGAACAGGAAACAGAAAACAACAGGAAACUACACCGAAGUAAGGGAGUUAAGCAUUAGUCUCCUGUGUACUCUACGUCAGUCCGCACGACUUUGAUGGAUAGUUUUGUCGGACGUUAAGACGGAUGUUUGGGUCGUCAAAGGAAGUUAACGGCGUCGUCAAAGGAAGCUCGUUCCUUGGAGGCCUUUUUCAGAGAAUAUCAGGAGGAAAAGGAGUAGGUAUGUAAUGAAUUGACGAAGUCGAGAAAGUUGAAGGAAUCGGGAAGGCCCAUCCU